CUCGAGCGGCGAACGGGUGAGUAACACGUGAGCAACCUGCCCUAGGCUUUGGGAUAACCCUCGGAAACGGGGGCUAAUACCGGAUAUUCACUUGCGGACGCAUGUUUGUGGGUGGAAAGUUUUUCGGCUUGGGAUGGGCUCGCGGCCUAUCAGCUUGUUGGUGGGGUGAUGGCCUACCAAGGCGACGACGGGUAGCCGGCCUGAGAGGGCGACCGGCCACACUGGGACUGAGACACGGCCCAGACUCCUACGGGAGGCAGCAGUGGGGAAUAUUGCACAAUGGGCGGAAGCCUGAUGCAGCGACGCCGCGUGAGGGAUGACGGCCUUCGGGUUGUAAACCUCUUUCAGCAGGGACGAAGCGUAAGUGACGGUACCUGCAGAAGAAGCGCCGGCCAACUACGUGCCAGCAGCCGCGGUAAGACGUAGGGCGCGAGCGUUGUCCGGAUUUAUUGGGCGUAAAGAGCUCGUAGGCGGCUUGUCGCGUCGACUGUGAAAACCCGUGGCUCAACUGCGGGCCUGCAGUCGAUACGGGCAGGCUAGAGUUCGGUAGGGGAGACUGGAAUUCCUGGUGUAGCGGUGAAAUGCGCAGAUAUCAGGAGGAACACCGGUGGCGAAGGCGGGUCUCUGGGCCGAUACUGACGCUGAGGAGCGAAAGCGUGGGGAGCGAACAGGAUUAGAUACCCUGGUAGUCCACGCUGUA
rnacentral:rRNA from 1 species